rfam:Ictidomys tridecemlineatus contig028794, whole genome shotgun sequence.
GUGGCUGUGGCUCAGUGGUAAAGUGCUCAUCUCACAGGUGUGAGGGCCUGGGUUCAAUCCUCAGCACCACA